CCCACAAACAACAUUGGAUACUAUGUUGCAUCAACCUUCUUUACAAACAGAUCAACAUAUUCGAUUCAGACAAGAAGCUGAAAAAUGAUGAAGUGUACGAGUUGUCAAACAAUCUGGUUACCAACUUUACGACACUGGCCACGCAUGCCAAAGCAUUCACAAAGUUGGAUUUCAUGAAGUUCACGUGCUUCAACCCCCCCGAUUGCCCCCAACAGAAAACGCACUACGAUUGCGGAAUAUUCACAAUGCUCUUCAUGAAGCAAUGGGAUGGGAAGAUCAUGGCCAACUUUUCCAAGGAUACAUACGGCCAUCGGGCGAUUAUCACCGAACUAAUCAUAACUUCGCAGCUCAACAACCAAGAUCCUACCUGGGUACUGAAGACCAACUGAGGAACCGUCUUAGUCGCGAUCAAACAAAUAAUAUUCCUCGUAGAUAAUCACGCCGACGAGCAUUCAACAGAAUAAACGAUCGCGCUUCUGCGAACUAUGUGCUUCCAAGUUUCUUUUUUACUUCUAGCUAGUUGUUUUAUUACACAAUUCAACUUCGUUACCAACAGGUUCCCAUAUUUUUGUGUCCUCUAUCUGGUACUAUUUUGUACUCAAUCAUGAGUUUUCAAGCUGGAAGUAACAGAGCAUUGUUUUUUCGCUUCA